AGAUCUGAGGGUGAUCUGUCUGCAACAUCUGUCACCCCACGAUUGCCACUGAUUCGGCUGUGGCUGGCUAGUGUCCCCUUCUUCCCUCACCACUCCAUGUGCAUCCCCCCCAAAGCUGCGCACUCAGUCAAAGAGGACGACCUUCCUCCCUAGGGGAGAGUGAGUCUUCCGUCAUGGGUAUAUGAGUAGCUGUACUCCCCUUCUAGAACCUCCGCACAAGCUCCCACGGCAUUUGCAUCCCACACUGGAGUUUCUGGGUUUGAUUCCUGGCUCUGGCUCCUGAUUCUGGCUUUCUGCUAAU
rnacentral:snRNA from 1 species